rnacentral:rRNA from 1 species
AGUAAUGGGGGAUAGCCCGGCGAAAGCCGGAUUAAUACCGCAUACGACCUACGGGUGAAAGCGGGGGAUCGCAAGACCUCGCGUUAUUGGAGCGGCCGAUGUCAGAUUAGCUUGUUGGUGGGGUAAAAGCCUACCAAGGCGACGAUCUGUAGCUGGUCUGAGAGGACGACCAGCCACACUGGGACUGAGACACGGCCCAGACUCCUACGGGAGGCAGCAGUGGGGAAUUUUGGACAAUGGGCGCAAGCCUGAUCCAGCCAUGCCGCGUGUGGGAAGAAGGCCUUCGGGUUGUAAACCACUUUUGUCAGGGAAGAAACAGUCUAAUCUAAUAAAUUGGACUAAUGACGGUACCUGAAGAAUAAGCACCGGCUAACUACGUGCCAGCAGCCGCGGUAAUUCCAGCUCCAAUAAGGAAAACUAAAGUUGCUGUGUUUAAAAAGCUCGUAGUUGAAUUUCGGGUAUUUGUUUCUAGCUGGUCUCUAUGGCCAUGUUGGUUAACAGAUCCUCACUUGCUGGACGGCUGGCGAUGAUCUUUAUCGAUUGUCGUCAGUUGCCAGAACGUUUACUUUGAGAAAAUUAGAGUGCUAAAAGCAGGCUCACGCCUAAAUAUAUUGCAUGGAAUAAUGAAAUAAGAUCUCGAUUUUAUUUCGUUGGUUUUAGAAGUUGAGAUAAUGAUUAAUAGGAUCAGAGGGGGGCGUACGUACUGUGGUGUGAGAGGUGAAAUUCUUGGAUCGCCACAGGACGAACAGCAGCGAAGGCGUUCGCCAAGAAUGUUUUCAUUAAUCAAGAACGAAAGUUUGAGGUUCGAAGACGAUUAGAUACCGUCCUAGUUCAAACCAUAAACGUUGCCAACUGUCUUUUAGAUGCGGUUAUUUAUAUGACUCAUCUGGCGGAUCUCGAGAAAUCUAAGUUUUUAGGUUCCGGGGGAAGUAUGGUUGCAAAGCUGAAACUUAAAAGAAUUGACGGAAGGACACACAAGAAGUGGAGCCUGUGGCCUAAUUUGACCCAACACGGGAGACCUUACUCGGCCAGGACACUUUUAGGAUUGACAGAUUGAGAGCUCUUUCUUGAUUAGGUGGGUGGUGGUGCAUGGUCGUUCGUAGUUCGUGGAGCGAUUUGUCUGAUUAAUUUCGAUAACGAACGAGACUCCGGCUUACUAAAUAGUCUAAAGUUCGAAGGGACUUUUCAAGACUUCUUAGCAGGAUAAGUGGCGCCCUUUAAGCCACACGAAAUGGAGCAAUAACAGGUCUGUGAUGCCCUUAGAUGUCCGAGGCUGCACGCGCGCUACACUGGAGAGUUCAGAAUGUUUCUUCCUACUUCGACAGAAGCGGGUAACCAUGAAAUUCUCUUCGUGACUGGGAUCGGAGCUUGCAAUUAUUCUCCGUCAACGAGGAAUUCCUAGUAAGCACUAUUUCAUCAGAAUGUGCUGAUUAUGUCCCUGUCCUUUGUACACACCGCCCGUCGCUACUACCGAUUGAAUGUUUUAGUGAGAUCUUCGGCUUGGUUUUCCGAGCGGCUUUCGGGUCGUUCGGUUUAUAUCGAAAAGAUGCUCAAACUGGAUCAUUUAGAGGAAGUAAAA